UACGAAGGGGGCUAGCGUUGCUCGGAAUUACUGGGCGUAAAGCGCGUGUAGGCGGUUGUCCAAGUUGGAUGUGAAAGCCUUGAGCUCAACUCAAGAAAUGCAUUCAGGACUGGAUGACUAGAGGACCGGAGAGGAUAGUGGAAUUCCCAGUGUAGUGGUGAAAUACGUAGAGAUUGGGAAGAACACCAGUGGCGAAGGCGGCUAUCUGGACGGUUUCUGACGCUAAGACGCGAAAGCGUGGGGAGCAAACAGG
rnacentral:rRNA from 1 species